UACGAACGCUGGCGGCGUGCUUAACACAUGCAAGUCGAACGGAAAGGCCCUGCUUUUGUGGGGUGCUCGAGUGGCGAACGGGUGAGUAACACGUGAGUAACCUGCCCUUGACUUUGGGAUAACUUCAGGAAACUGGGGCUAAUACCGGAUAGGAGCUCCUGCUGCAUGGUGGGGGUUGGAAAGUUUCGGCGGUUGGGGAUGGACUCGCGGCUUAUCAGCUUGUUGGUGGGGUAGUGGCUUACCAAGGCUUUGACGGGUAGCCGGCCUGAGAGGGUGACCGGGGACAAGGGGAAUGAGGGACGGGGGAGGGGGGUAAGGGGGUCAGGAGGGGGGAAGAGGGUACAAGGGGGCGGAGGGGGUGAAAGAGGCGGCGUGUGCGGGAGGAGGUUUUUGGGGGUGAAAAAAGCAGCCGCCUGAGAAGAAGGUGGAGUGACGGUAACUAAUAAAGAAGCACCGGCGAACUACGGG
rnacentral:rRNA from 1 species